rnacentral:rRNA from 1 species
GACGUAGGGCGCGAGCGUUGUCCGGAUUUAUUGGGCGUAAAGAGCUCGUAGGCGGCUUAGUAAGUCGGGUGUGAAACCUCCAGGCUCAACCUGGAGACGCCACCCGAUACUGCUAUAGCUUGAGUCCGGUAGGGGAGCGUGGAAUUCCUGGUGUAGCGGUGAAAUGCGCAGAUAUCAGGAGGAACACCAGCGGCGAAAGCGGCUCACUGGACCACAACUGACGCUGAGGCGCGAAAGCUAGGGGAGCAAACAGG